ACAGCAGUCGCCGCGGGAAUACGAAGGGGGCUAGCGUUGUUCGGAUUUACUGGGCGUAAAGGGCGCGUAGGCGGACUGAUAAGUCAGGGGUGAAAUCCCAAGGCUCAACCUUGGAACUGCCUUUGAUACUGUUUGUCUUGAGUUCGAGAGAGGUAAGUGGAACUGCGAGUGUAGAGGUGAAAUUCGUAGAUAUUCGCAAGAACACCAGUGGCGAAGGCGGCUUACUGGCUCGAAACUGACGCUGAGGCGCGAAAGCGUGGGGAGCAAACAGGAUUAGAUACCCCCGUAGUCCCUGUCUCUUAUAC
rnacentral:rRNA from 1 species